rnacentral:rRNA from 1 species
GGGAAUCUUCCACAAUGGACGCAAGUCUGAUGGAGCAACGCCGCGUGAGUGAAGAAGGUUUUCGGACCGCAAAGCUCUGUUGUUGGUGAAGAAGGAUAGAGGUAGUAACUGGCCUUUAUUUGACGGUAAUCAACCAGAAAGUCACGGCUAACUACGUGCCAGCAGCCGCGGUAAUACGUAGGUGGCAAGCGUUGUCCGGAUUUAUUGGGCGUAAAGCGAGCGCAGGCGGAAGAAUAAGUCUGAUGUGAAAGCCCUCGGCUUAACCGAGGAAUUGCAUCGGAAACUGUUUUCUUGAGUGCAGAAGAGGAGAGUAGAAACUCCCAUGUGUAGCGGUGGAAUGCGUAGAUAUAUG